rnacentral:snRNA from 1 species
AUACUCUGGUUUCUCUUCAGAUCGUACAAAUCUUUCGCCUUUUACUAAAGAUUUCCAUGGAGAGAAACAACUCUGAGUCUUAACCCAAUUUUUAAAAGCCUUACACAUAGCAAGGUU